AACUUUGCGCAGUGGCAAUAUCGUAACCAAUGAAGUUCAUCUGAGGUGCGAUUAUUGCUUAUUGAAAACUUUAACCAAUACACCGCCUGUGGGGGCGUGAAAUAUCGCCCGCACUGGCAAUUUCUGGAAGUCCCUGCGGGGG
rnacentral:snRNA from 1 species